ensembl:lncRNA
AUGCGAAGUAGGCGGUCACCUUCCUUCCCAUCAGGAUUGGCAAAAAAAAAAAGAAACCCCGAGUGCGGCGGCGUCCGGAGGGCAGCGGCGGUGGCGGCCUCUCGGCGACGGUUUCCUAGGCGCCCCCGGCUCCCGUUCCCCGAGGCCGGUGGGUGCGCGCGCGCGCGGGGGCCGCCAGCGACCCAGGCCGAGCGCGCGGCGCGCCGCGGGGACAAUACGGCCGGAUCCCCCGGGACCGGGAGUCCGAGCGCACGGGGCCUGGGGCCUGCGGGGCGGGGGCGGGGGAGGGGACCGGGGGGUCCACUGGGAAAACGGGGCGCGCGCGGCUCCGGGCCCCCAGGGGAGCGGCCCCUGCUGGCAGGGGAUCCCGCGCGGCGCCCCGGGAGCGCAAGUGAGAGACGGGAACGCAGGCGAAGUGGAACCCUUUUGUUUUGCCGGCCCCGCAUUGUUGGCUCCUCCGGGCAGCCGGGCCACAUCUGCCGCCGCCGCCGCCGCCGCCACUGCCGCGCCGGGCUCGGCCCGCCAAAGUCGCAGCGGGGCGGGGGCCCGGGGCGAGCCGGGCGACGGGCGCGGGCGGGGGCCGAGCUGGCCGGGCAUUUCCUCUGCCCGGCCGCGCUCGCGCCGGCACCACUUCCUCCUCGCCCGCCGCUGCCGCGGCCGCCGCGAACCCGGCCCGCCCGCCCGCCUCCCCCCGCCCUGGCCGCACUUUUCGGGUGGGGCGAAGCCAAAAGAAAAAGUUUCGCAGGAGGGGCUGGCGAGGGCGCGCCCCGGGCGGCGGGGACUCGGCGCGGCGCAGCGACAGCCGAGCGGCCGCGAUCGCCUCUUCCUCCUUGUCCUCAGCGGCGCCGGACCGACCCGCGCGGCCGAGGGGAAGCGCCUUUCUUUCUCUGCCUGGCGCUCUUCCCAGCUCCCCGGGGCAAGUUGGACACGGGCGCGCGAGAUCCGGGGCGCGCGGUGGCCCUUCACCAGCCGGAGAGGCCCGCGGCGUGGCCGGUCGCCCUCUGCCCACGCAGCGCCCGGGUGCUGGGAGGCCGCGGGCCCAGGAGCUCGGCGCGGUCACCGCCGGCCGCGUCGAGACACACACGCGCACACACUCCCUCCGGUGGCUUCGCUUUCCGCCGCCGCCGAUGGUCUCGGACACCGAGUGUGAGUGCGCCCGCGAGUGUAUGUAGUGCUCCCAGCUCCCCGAAUACUUUUUCCGGAGGCGGCCCAAGCAGCUGUUGGCUCUAA